UACGUAGGGGGCAAGCGUUGUCCGGAUUCAUUGGGCGUAAAGAGCGUGUAGGCGGCCAGGUAGGUCGGUUGUGAAAACUGGAGGCUCAACCUUCAGAGGUCGACCGAAACCAUCUGGCUAGAGUCCGGGAGAGGAGAGUGGAAUUCCUGGUGUAGCGGUGAAAUGCGCAGAUAUCGGGAAGAACACCCGUGGCGAAGGCGGCCGACUGGGCCGGAUCCGACGCUCAAGCGCGAAAGCGUGGGGAGCAAACAGG
rnacentral:rRNA from 1 species